rnacentral:lncRNA from 1 species
CCAGAAGUCAUUUGGAUGUUUUUUAAAGUUAAUUUUGACCAGUCAGCAGUGGUUAGUACAAGAUUGACUAAGAUGGCUGCAACUAAAUUAUGAUCUGAUUCAAGCAAGGACUUGAAGCUCUGGGUCUACAGGUGCUCACUGUCUGAUAUCAACAGAAAAAGAUAAACUUAUUAUAAUGAUCAAUGGGUGUUUCCUCCUCCUCUUGGGAAGCAACUUUUUUUCUUUUUUUCCCCAGGAAACACAGGUAGAGCUGCUGUUCAUGAAAUGGUAGUGGGAGACUGAUGUUAAAGUCAGGUAUUUCCUUACUGUUUAAGCUUGUGAGCAAGUUUCAGUUGAGUUACUUGGACUUCUUAGCUCAGACAGUCUGGAUAGCAGACCAGAUGCCACACAGAUGUCUCUUUCUAGCCACGUUCAUGACCUAUGUUUCAAGAAUGCGUGAAUGAUCCCCGAGCACUAGGAAAGUGUAGAGUGUAUGGCCAUCGCUCUAGGGGGAGAGAUCUGGUUCAACAUACCCCAGAAGGUCUAUUUCAACUUCAGGUGGCCUGGAAUCUUU